GAGCUUGCUCUUCUUGGAUGAGUUGCGAACGGGUGAGUAACGCGUAGGUAACCUGCCUUGUAGCGGGGGAUAACUAUUGGAAACGAUAGCUAAUACCGCAUAACAAUGGAUGACACAUGUCAUUUAUUUGAAAGGGGCAAUUGCUCCACUACAAGAUGGACCUGCGUUGUAUUAGCUAGUAGGUGAGGUAAUGGCUCACCUAGGCGACGAUACAUAGCCGACCUGAGAGGGUGAUCGGCCACACUGGGACUGAGACACGGCCCAGACUCCUACGGGAGGCAGCAGUAGGGAAUCUUCGGCAAUGGGGGCAACCCUGACCGAGCAACGCCGCGUGAGUGAAGAAGGUUUUCGGAUCGUAAAGCUCUGUUGUAAGUCAAGAACGGGUGUGAGAGUGGAAAGUUCACACUGUGACGGUAGCUUACCAGAAAGGGACGGCUAACUACGUGCCAGCAGCCGCGGUAAUACGUAGGUCCCGAGCGUUGUCCGGAUUUAUUGGGCGUAAAGCGAGCGCAGGCGGUUUGAUAAGUCUGAAGUUAAAGGCUGUGGCUCAACCAUAGUUCGCUUUGGAAACUGUCAAACUUGAGUGCAGAAGGGGAGAGUGGAAUUCCAUGUGUAGCGGUGAAAUGCGUAGAUAUAUGGAGGAACACCGGUGGCGAAAGCGGCUCUCUGGUCUGUAACUGACGCUGAGGCUCGAAAGCGUGGGGAGCGAACAGGAUUAGAUACCCUGGUAGUCCACGCCGUAAACGAUGAGUGCUAGGUGUUGGAUCCUUUCCGGGAUUCAGUGCCGCAGCUAACGCAUUAAGCACUCCGCCUGGGGAGUACGACCGCAAGGUUGAAACUCAAAGGAAUUGACGGGGGCCCGCACAAGCGGUGGAGCAUGUGGUUUAAUUCGAAGCAACGCGAAGAACCUUACCAGGUCUUGACAUCCCGAUGCUAUUUCUAGAGAUAGAAAGUUACUUCGGUACAUCGGUGACAGGUGGUGCAUGGUUGUCGUCAGCUCGUGUCGUGAGAUGUUGGGUUAAGUCCCGCAACGAGCGCAACCCCUAUUGUUAGUUGCCAUCAUUCAGUUGGGCACUCUAGCGAGACUGCCGGUAAUAAACCGGAGGAAGGUGGGGAUGACGUCAAAUCAUCAUGCCCCUUAUGACCUGGGCUACACACGUGCUACAAUGGUUGGUACAACGAGUUGCGAGUCGGUGACGGCGAGCUAAUCUCUUAAAGCCAAUCUCAGUUCGGAUUGUAGGCUGCAACUCGCCUACAUGAAGUCGGAAUCGCUAGUAAUCGCGGAUCAGCACGCCGCGGUGAAUACGUUCCCGGGCCU
rnacentral:rRNA from 1 species